AUUGAAGUAGAGUUGACUUACAGUGUUGUGUUCAUUUCUGCUGUACAGCAGCGUGAUUCAGUUACACAUAUGCACAUAUCCAUUCCCAUAUAGGUUAUCACAGAAUAUUGAGGAGAUUUUCAGGGGCUAUACGCAGGGCUCCAUUUACCCUGCAUUCCGUAUACCAUAGUGUGCCCGUGCCAUCCCAAGCUCCCCAAUCUUUCCCUCCCCCUGACCUGGUAUUUUUCUUAAUUUAAAACAGCACUUUAUAUAAUAAAGCCCUCAAUCUACUGUUUGUCAUACAUUUUCCCCUCAUUUAUCUUCUGUUUAUGGUAUGUGUUUUGCACACACAAAACUUAAAUAAUUGUGCAGGUGAAAUUUUUAAUUUUUUCCUUUCUGGAUUCUGAGGUGUAUCUCUUUUCAAGAAAGGCCUUCUCAGUCUCAAGAUUAUGGAAUUCUUAUUUUUUUAGUUUCUUUUCCUAUUUUUAUAAUUUUUCAAAAUGUAUAUACAUCUUCAUUACAUUGCAAUGUAUUUUGUGUGUGUGAAUGUGGCAUGAGGUGAAAACUCAAUUUUUCCCUCCUCCACAUGGGUAACUAAUUAUUCCAGCAUUGUUUAUGGAAAAAUAUUUAGUCUUUCUCCACUAACAAGAAAUACAAUCUUUAUCAGAUACUAGAUUCCCAUAUAUACACUUUAUUUUAUUAGCCUAUUUUAUUCUAUUUUACACUCUAUUUUAUUCAUUUAUCUAUAUGAUCUUCCUACAACCUUGUCAUAAUGCUUAUUAUUCUGACUUUGUAUUAUCUUUUAAAAUCCAAUAAAGCAAGCAUCCUCUUUUAUUUUUUUACAAAAAUUGUUUAUUCUCAUGUAUCCAUCCAAUCUCCUAGACAAAAGUUCGAAUCAAUUUGUUCUUUUAAUCAGAAAUUUAACUGAAACUUAUAAACUAACUUGGAGGAGAAUUGAAAUCUUCACAACGUUUAGCCAUCCCAAGCAGAAAUACAGUAUUUAGUUUAUUUAGAUUUCCUUUGAUAUACUUCAAUAUUUGCUUCUAAACAGGUCUUAGAUAUUUCUUGCAUGAAUAAGUCACUGUAUUUUCAGUUUUGUGGGUGAUUUAUGCUUUGUUUUGUUUUUGCUAUGGUGAAUGGAAUAAUUUUCAUUUUAUAUUUUCAACUUGUUAUUACUAUUAUAUAAGAAAGCUAGUUUGUGUCUGGGAAUCCUUGCAAACUCUCUUAUUUUUUCUAUUAAGUAAUCAGUGGAGUCUCUUGGAUUUUCCAUUUAAUAACUGCUUGACUUAUUAGCCUAUUAUAGAAAAUGAAAACAUAAAAAAGGAAAGAAGCGAACAGUACCUGUAAAAUCAAUUCUUCUGAAAUAGACAUUGUUAAGAUUUUGAUGAAUAUCCUUCAAAAAAGUAUGAUAUAUAUAUAUAUAUAAAGCAUUUACUAAAGGNCAUUGUGCAUAUAUCUACUGAAGUAGACAAACAUAUAUGUCUAUGAAUUAAGUAGAAUGUAUACCAAAUCUCACAGACAGCAUCAUAACAUGAAUAUUGUUUUCUAAUCCACUUUUCCUACUUAAUAAAAUGUUAUCCAACCUUUUUUCCAUGUUAUUAUUCUACAUUAGCAUUUUAAUGACUGCAUUAAAUGUAUGAAUUUAUUUAAGCGAUCCUCUCACUUUGAACAGUUGAGUCCAUUUUGCAAUAUUGUGAUUCUAGAGUAAACACCUCAUUACCAAAAUAUUUAUGAAUAUUAUGAUUCUUUCUUUAGGAGAAAUUUCUAGAAGUGGACUUUCUGGAUGCAAAAGGCUUUUGCGACGAAGUUGACAAGUUGCCUUCAGAAAGCUUAUUCUCCCACCUCUGCUUUUAAAUACAUAUUUCUUCUUCACAUCUCCCCUUCUUCAACGAACAUUAUACAACAGGCAUUUCUUAAGUUCUUAACCUCACUGGCAACAUUAUUUUAAUAGUAGUAUUCUGUCAGCCACCAACCCUCCUUGGAGCCUUCACAGUUCCUUCUGUUUCCUGGGAUAACCCCCAAAUUCCCAACUUCCAGACCAAGUAGCUUCAUUUGACAUUGGGGAGCCUCCCCUGGGGGUUCCAGCUUCUAAAGUCAAAAUAAAAUGGUUAACUCAGCCCAAUCCUGUUCACUCCGUGCAGCGGGAAGGUCGCCAGGAGGCACCAUGAAAUGGAAAUCAUUCUAAGUUUUCUGCCGUGUAUUUUUUCUACACGGUGGAGAAGAUCCAUUUGUGUUUUAAACAAAAACGCCCCCUUCUUGUCAUCUUCUCUCAGUCAAAAAGGUAUCAUCUUUUCCCCGAACAGGUAUUUGCUUGGCAAGAAACUCCUCAUUCAGAAACCCUUCCAGCAAGGGGAUAAAUUUUUCUAAGGCAGCGAGUGACUACACACACAUCUGCAUUGACAAGUCACAACUUAUAGCCUUCUAUGGUGUUUCUGCGCUUUUGAAAAUGUUAAUAAAAACUUAAUGUGGAAAAAAACCAACUUUUUCCAAAUAUGUGUACCAAUAAGCCCAAGGCAACUCAUACUUUCUUAUAAAAUAAAGUAGGUCACUCACAUCAAUCAUGUUGUCUUAGCACAUUUUUUCCAAAUUAGGAAUUCUCAAUCCAUCAGACCCGGUUAUGGCAUCUCUUUUCCAAACAUUUCCUUUUAAUAUGCUCUUUAACAUGAUAAGCAAAUCUAAUAGAAUACAUUAGUGUCACUUUUCCGUGAUGGAGUGUUUCCUCCUGUUGUGACCCACGAUGCGUUCAGGGAAAGAUUUUUACUGGUUCCCCCUGGAACAGCGAUUGUUUAUGGCACAUGUGCCAAUGGCCCUAAAGCUGCCAAGGCUACACUUGGGUGCUGACCUUAGAAAGACCCCAGGACUCUGACCUCACCUCUCCAGGGAUCAUAGAUGUAGAAAAGUCAAAAGAUGUGUGUUUCCCAAAGCAAAAUAAUAAAUCCAGAUUCUGUACGUGAGGAGUGUUUAAAUUGAGGCUGUCGAUACAGUAGAGUUGCUCAUGCACACGGACUAUCCCAUACAGAUCAAAAGCUUGUACUGGGCUUCAUUUUAAAACCACAUUGCUUGCAGAACAUUUCCAAAUCUCCUGAAUCACGCAGCAAGGGAGGAUCCUUGGCUUCAGACACGUGGGAUGCUCCAAAACCAGUUACCAUCUUCUUGCAAGUGAAUUUGGACAUUGUAUGAGAUGCACGCUCUGUUUACAACCCACUGGAGAUAAAUAUAUUUGUAUGUUCAUAUAUUUGACAACAUUUACCUGGCAAAACCAGAGUCUUUGUUUCCACUCAUACCUCUGGUUCCUGGACUCGUGUGUUCAGUGUUAGCACUGGCCUUUCUUUUAUCUGGACAGAGUUUGGGAAUAAAACACUUGUGAAAGUUGGGGAUUGGGAGAGGUUUGUGGAGCGCCCAGGAAUUCAGUUGUUUCAGACUUUUUGGCCACCCAGCAGGAAAACAUCUGAAUGGAAAAGGAAAAGUUUAGUUUGUCUUCUGGAUCUUUCAAAUGGAUACGUAAGGUCCUGCGGACACUGGUUUCGAUGGCCCAUCCUGUAAGUCACAUCACUUCUUCCUAAUGUCCUAGGAAACAAGAAAGUAACGUUAUGGCCUCUGAUCAGCCAUAGCUUCCUGACCCUGCCCCAUUCUUGCCCAGAGCUAAUGACUUGAGGCUCUGUGUGUCCAUCACAAAAAUGUGUGUGCUAGGGGCAGUGACGGACACAUAAAGUCAUAGCUCCUGCCCUUGAGAUGCUUGAGGUCAGGUUUGAUAUCAAAUAGAAUACAAUAAGGAAAAGAAAAAAAAAAAAUCCAGGGAGCUCAGAGGAGGGAGAGGUCAUUGCCAGGUAAGGGUGAGUGCAGAAAAAGAUUGAGAAGACGGUCUUCGAGCCAGGCCCUGACCAGUGAGUGGGCUUUGGAUCUGCACAGAUGGGGGAAGGGCAUUCUAGGUCAAAGGCACAGUGAGAGUAAGGGGCGGGGAGCAGGCGUGGGAAAGCAUGCAGGGAGCAGAGGCAUGACAAACAAUUGAGGACCAGCUGAACACAGGCUGCAGAAAGAGAAGCAUUAGAGGAAAUCAGGGAAGGGAGAUUGAUGCUAGUGUGUGAGAUGCCUUGAGUGCCAACAUAAGGAGAAAAGCCUCCAGGGAAUGCUCCCCCUCUGUACCCCCAAAAUUGUUCUGGUCACAUCACCACGUCUGUCUGGAAUAGGAAGAUUAUUAGGGUGAUCAUGUUUAUGUAGGUGCAUUUAAACCCCCUCAACCUUUUGUCUCUUUAACCCUUCUUCUCUACGUAGGCUAAUGCUAUGGCAAAUUUAAGUGUUUUCCAUUGCUGACGUUUGGAGCACCAUCCUGGAAAUUCCUGCUGGCCUCAAAACCAUUGCUUACAGAGAUUUAGGAUUCUUGCAAGUUCAGUGGUUUCUCUGAGUCGAUUAACAUUUGUAGAAGCUGCCCCUUUCCUUGUGGCCCAUGGACCCAGAGGGGACUAUGCAGUGCAAGACUUGAGGUGUUUCGGUAAACCCAUCACUUUGUUCACCACACAUUUAUUGAGCAACUACUAUGUGUCUUAAUAUUGUUCCAUGUGCUGAGGACGAAGCGUGUAAACAGAACAGACAGGGUCCCUUGUCUUCAUGGGGUUUACUUUCUGGUGGGACAGACAGAAAGUUAUCGAGAUCAUUUCAAAGUUAUAAGGAAAACAAAGGAAAUAAGCUAAGCGACAUGAAAGAGUGACAGGAAGCAAGAAAAGGACGACCACGUCGGAGAAGAUGGACAGAGAAGGCCUGAAGGAGGGAGGCUGGGAAGAAGGCAGCUAGAGGAAUGGCUGAGGGAGAAACAUGGAGAACAGGGGAUGCAGCAAGUGCAAGUGUGGGGUGAGCUGGAAGAAGCUAGGAAAUGAGAGGGACAGGGAGCAGAUAGGGCUGGAGCAAGGCAGGAGCCCUUUUGGGAUUUGAGGUACCAUGGGAAGCUCCUGCAGGGUUUGAGGCGGGAAGUGACCAAGCUAUGAAUGUUCGAGCCACCAUGAGGCACCAUCUGCUCCGCCUCUCCGUUGCUGGCUUGCCCCGCAAAGUCAAAACGAGUGCUCGGAGUGCAUCAGCUUUUAUUUUUACAGCAAUCUUUGUACCCAAACCACCGUAGCAUUUUUAAUAACAAACUGGCAGGGAGUCAGACAUCUGUACUUGAAAAAAACAGCCCAAGCCAAGUAUUUCUAAAUGUUUUAUAUUUACUUGUAACAUUAGAAUAACCAUGAGGUUGCUUUUUGCAUAAUCGGAACCAUUCUCAUUAGGGUUCGACAGAUCUCAUCCUUCAUGGGCUUGGGUGGUGGUUUUCAUUAUGGCAGUGACAUUGAUCUGACGGGAGUGCAUCUCUCCUUGAACGUUUGUGGAUAAAAGAGGAAGAAGAUGAGAGAAGUCAGGGCAGGCCAGGAAAAUGAGAACUCUACAAAGAUAACCAUCAGCUUGGCAUUGGGGUGCCCUGAAAAGAGUCCAGGUUUCAAACUUCAGCAGAUCUGGGCUAGAAGUUCAGCUGGGUGACCUUGGGUGAGUCACUUAACCUCUCUGGGCUCCUGUCUACUCAUAGGCAGAAGGAGGAUGAUAAUAGAAACUACUUCAUGGAGUUGUGGUGCGGUCUUAAUGCAAUAACAUGGGUAAAGGGGCCUAGUACAAGGGUGUUUUCUGCUUGCCUUCCUCCAAAAUUAGCGUUUCACAUCCAAGAUGGAGACACUACCCUCCAUCUUUUUUCUAAAGUAGGCUUGCAAGAUUUAUCAAGCAAAAAUACAGUAUAUCCAGUUCAAUUUGGAUUUCAGAUAAACAACAAAUACUUAUUUUCUAUAAAUGUGUCCCAUGUAAUAUUUGGGACACACUUAGAGCAAUCAAGGAAUCCUUUAUCUGGAAACACUGUUCUAAAGGUUUACUGAUCCCAGGAGUUCCCUGGUGGCCUAGUGAUUAAGGACUGGGCAUUGUCACUGCUGUGGCUCAGGUCACUGAUAUGGAGUGGGUUUGAUCUCUGACCUGGGAAUUUCCG
rnacentral:lncRNA from 1 species